GUUUGAUCCUGGCUCAGAUUGAACGCUGGCGGAAUGCUUUACACAUGCAAGUCGAACGGCAGCACGGGGGCAACCCUGGUGGCGAGUGGCGAACGGGUGAGUAAUACAUCGGAACGUGCCCAAUCGUGGGGGAUAACGUAGCGAAAGCUACGCUAAUACCGCAUACGAUCUACGGAUGAAAGCGGGGAUCGCAAGACCUCGCGCGAAUGGAGCGGCCGAUGGCAGAUUAGGUAGUUGGUGGGGUAAAGGCUCACCAAGCCGACGAUCUGUAGCUGGUCUGAGAGGACGACCAGCCACACUGGGACUGAGACACGGCCCAGACUCCUACGGGAGGCAGCAGUGGGGAAUUUUGGACAAUGGGCGCAAGCCUGAUCCAGCCAUUCCGCGUGCAGGAUGAAGGCCUCGG
rnacentral:rRNA from 1 species